rnacentral:rRNA from 1 species
UACGGGGGAGCAAGCGUUGUUCGGAUUUACUGGGCGUAAAGGGCGCGUAGGCGGUCAGCACAAGUCAGUUGUGAAAUCUCCGGGCUUAACUCGGAAAGGUCAACUGAUACUGUGCGACUAGAGUGCAGAAGGGGCAACUGGAAUUCUCGGUGUAGCGGUGAAAUGCGUAGAUAUCGAGAGGAACACCUGCGGCGAAGGCGGGUUGCUGGGCUGACACUGACGCUGAUGCGCGAAAGCGUGGGGAGCGAACAGG